rnacentral:rRNA from 1 species
UACAGAGGGUGCAAGCGUUGCUCGGAAUCAUUGGGCGUAAAGGGCAGGUAGGUGGUCUGAUUUGUCUGGCGGUGAAAUCCUUGAGCUUAACUCAAGAAGUGCCCCGGAAACGGUCAGACUUAUGAGUCUUGGAGAGGGUUGCGGAAUUCCAGGUGUAGCGGUGAAAUGCGUAGAUAUCUGGAGGAACACCGGUGGCGAAGGCGGCAUCCUGGACCGGUAUUGACGCUGAUGCGCGAAAGCCAGGGGAGCAAACGGG